CCGAGAGGGGCUCCCUGGGACCCGCUCCGCUCCCGGAAGGCGCCUCCGGCGAGCUCCUACAGAGCAGCAGCGCCCCAGGGCAGCGCGGGCGCGGAGCAACGCCUGCGGGUGGAGGGCUGGUUGUGGAAAGAACGGUCGUCCAAGAAACGCCGUGCGUAUGAAAACUAAACGCAGGGGGAGAAGUUGGCUGCUCGGGCUCAUCUCUGCAGGGCCUUUGCAUUUUCCAUCUGGCCUGACGCCCUCCCCCAAACAGCACUGCUGGCCCCUGUUCAUCCAGGAUCCUUUGGCUGGAGACACCUUUCCAUCGAGAAAG